GCCUGAAAUAGAGGGGUACGCUAGAAGGCCAGGCGAGAGACACCACAACCACACAGAGAGCGGCCGAGGCAGGCUCACCUGCAGUUCAUGCUGACCUACCAGGAGGACCCGCGUGGAAGCCAGGAAGUGACCCGCUGCUACUAUUUCACGAUACAUUGUCAGUGACACCAAUCAGAAGGGAGACGUAGGACCCACAGACACCCCAG